AUUGAACGCUGGCGGCAGGCCUAACACAUGCAAGUCGAACGAGUGGCGGACGGGUGAGUAAUGUCUGGGAAACUGCCUGAUGGAGGGGGAUAACUACUGGAAACGGUAGCUAAUACCGCAUACCAUCGGAUGUGCCCAGAUGGGAUUAGAUAGUAGGUGGGGUAACGGCUCACCUAGGCGACGAUCCCUAGCUGGUCUGAGAGGAUGACCAGCCGCACUGGAACGGAGACACGGGCCAGACUCCUGCGGGAGGCAGCAGUGGGGAAGAUUGCACAAAGGGCGCAAGCCUGGUGCAGCCAUGCCGCGUGUAUGAAGAAAGCCUUCGGGUUGUAAAGUACUUUCAGCGGGGAGGCGUUACCCGCAGAAGAAGCACCGGCUAACUCCGUGCCAGCAGCCGCGGUAAUUC
rnacentral:rRNA from 1 species